GAUAAGUUACUGUUUAUGUCGAGAAUACCACGUUCAUUGCAGCAAUGUGUAUGGGCUGACCAAGAUACCACUUUUCAGGAAAUAACUGCAGACUCUGAAGUUGACACCCCAGACGUCAGUGUGGAAAGGGAGCUUAUGCGAAGGCAUAUUCGGAAUCUCCUUAACAUUCUCAGUCCGAAAGAGAGACGGAUAAUCAGACUACG
rnacentral:misc_RNA from 1 species